rnacentral:rRNA from 1 species
GUGGGGAAUAUUGGGCAAUGGGGGAAACCCUGACCCAGCGACGCCGCGUGAGGGAAGAAGGCCUUAGGGUCGUAAACCUCUGUUGUGUGGGAAGAAGAGCGUGACGGUACCACACGAGGAAGUCCCGGCUAACUACGUGCCAGCAGCCGCGGUAAUACGUAGGGGACGAGCGUUGUCCGGAUUUACUGGGCGUAAAGGGCGCGUAGGCGGUCAUUUAAGUCAGCUGUGAAAUGGUUUGGCUUAACCGGAUCAUGCGGUUGAAACUGGAUGACUGGAGUGCUGGAGAGGCAAGUGGAAUUCCCAGUGUAGAGGUGAAAUGCGUAGAUAUUGGGAAGAACACCGGUGGCGAAGGCGACUUGCUGGCCAGCAACUGACGCUGAGGCGCGAAAGCCAGGGGAGCAAACGGGAUUAGAUACCCGAGUAGUCC